rnacentral:rRNA from 1 species
CACUACAACGGGUGGAGCCUGCGGUUUAAUUGGACUCAACGCCGGAAAACUCACCGGGGGCGACAGCAAUAUGUAGGUCAAGCUAAAGACUUUACCAGAAUCGCUGAGAGGAGGUGCAUGGCCGUCGUCAGUUCGUACUGUGAAGCAUCCUGUUAAGUCAGGCAACGAGCGAGACCCGUGCCCACUGUUGCCAGCAUGUCCUUCGGGAUGAUGGGUACUCUGUGGGGACCGCCGAUGCUAAAUCGGAGGAAGGUGCGGGCUACGGUAGGUCAGUAUGCCCCGAAUCUCCCGGGCUACACGCGGGCUACAAUGACUGGGACAAUGGGCUCCUACCCCGAAAGGGGAUGGUAAUCUCCUAAAACCAAUCUUAGUUCGGAUUGAGGGCUGCAACUCGCCCUCAUGAAGCUGGAAUCCGUAGUAAUCGCGUUUCAACAGAACGCGGUGAAUACGUCCCUGCUCCUU